rnacentral:tRNA from 1 species
GGAAGUGUGGCUCAGUGGUAGAGCACUUGUCUGAUGUGUGAGGCCCUGGGUUCGAUCCCCAGCUCUG